AUUGAACGCUGGCGGCAUGCCUUACACAUGCAAGUCGAACGGCAGCACGGGGCAACCUGGUGGCGAGUGGCGAACGGGUGAGUAAUGCAUCGGAACGUGCCAUUGAGUGGGGGAUAACGUAGCGAAAGUUACGCUAAUACCGCAUAUUCUGUGAGCGGGAAAGCAGGGGAUCGCAAGACCUUGCGCUCUGGGAGCGGCCGAUGUCGGAUUAGCUAGUUGGUGGGGUAAAGGCCUACCAAGGCGACGAUCCGUAGCGGGUCUGAGAGGAUGAUCCGCCACACUGGGACUGAGACACGGCCCAGACUCCUACGGGAGGCAGCAGUGGGGAAUUUUGGACAAUGGGCGAAAGCCUGAUCCAGCCAUGCCGCGUGAGUGAAGAAGGCCUCGGUUGUAAG
rnacentral:rRNA from 1 species